UACGGAGGGUGCAAGCGUUAUCCGGAAUCACUGGGUUUAAAGGGUGCGUAGGCGGUGGCGUAAGUCAGUUGUGAAAUUCCCCGGCUUAACCGGUGGACUGCGAUUGAUACUGCGUUACUUGAAUCAGGUUGAGGUAGGCGGAAUGUGACAUGUAGCGGUGAAAUGCUUAGAUAUGUCAUAGAACACCGAUUGCGAAGGCAGCUUGCUGGACCUGUAUUGACGCUGAGGCACGAAAGCGUGGGGAGCAAACAGG
rnacentral:rRNA from 1 species